AGACGAAAGCAAAAGACCCAAGGCUUGAGGGUAGCCCACAUUCACAAAACGAGCCCUGUCAGGUUCAUCUUCAGACCAAAAAGCACCGUUGGUUCGCUCCGCUAAAACCCUCCUUAUACCUCCGACGCACACUAUGCCCUGAGAGUACUUGGACGAAAAAGAAGAGCAUAGCAUUUCGAAUCCGCUAGCCUAGAAAAAAUGGUGAAUAAAUCAUGGAGAAUUAUCCCAAGACCACUCCUAGAAACCGUGCUGAACAACCAUGCCCAGCACCACCGCGUCCCUCAACCACUGAUCCUCCACGGCCCUCGCGGCGUCGGCAAGACCACCCUCGUACUUGAACGUCUACUCGGCGAGUGGAACAAAGGCCCCCACCUCACCGGCUAUGUAGACUUUGCCCAAUCCAUCAAGGAUCACCAUCCACAAUUUAACCAGUCGUUUCCGUGGGCUUCUUGGUCCAAUUGCCCACCACCCACUUUGUCCAACUGCCGAACUCUGCUCGAACACACCCUUGAAUCAAUGGUCGAAAAGGGUGUCAAGCUUGGCAGCAUUAGCUCUCACCAGAUAUUCACCUCCCUCAAUAAAUGGCACGGCCUCAGCACGGCGCUUCGCCGCGUGAUUCAGGACAACAGUGGUGUAAAAAAUGCAGUCUUAGAUAAGGUCUCGGGUUCGGUGUUGUGGGAUCGGGCGGUCUUCGUACUCGCUGCUCGAUGUAAUGCCAAAGAGAUCGAUGGGGUGUUGGGUUUAAGUGAGAAACGGAAGGGCUUGCCAAUGGAAGAGGCUUUGUAUUUUAGGGAGGCGAUUGUGGCCUUGAGAUUGGCGAAGGAGGUGAUUAAGGCUCAACAAGGGUGGAGGGCUAACGCUAUCGCUCAUUUGAAUCGGACAGGCGGGUUUUCGAGGUCGUUAGCGAAUUCAUGUACUGAUUGGCCAUGUUUGUUACUGGAGUUGUUGUCUCAAGCCGCUGAAAUUGAUCAUUUUCAGCCAAAGCUGGUCAUUAACAACAUCGAUGUUCUACGCAAUGCUACCCUAGAUGAUGAUUCAUCAGUCUGUGCAUCAUUGUAUCAUGACAGUUUCAUAUGGAGAAUAAUUGCUUUGGGCGCAAAUGAGCGGUGCCUGCCUGUCAUACUAGUUACGUCGGAUAGCUACUAUUCAUACCAAGCCUACAUGGAUUUUGGAUUUCCAGACAUAUUCAUCUCACGCGAGGCAUUCGGAUGGACUCCCCAGCAAGCUAAAAUGCAUAUGGUUCCUGAUUAUUUCAGUCAUUCAGAGUGGGCUGUGGUUGCUGAGGUGCUUGGGCCAACCCCUCGACAUCUAUUUGAGCUUUAUGCUCUUAAACAAAGUAACCAUUAUCAGAAGAUGAUGGGCGAUGAGAGUAGCACUUUCGAAGACAUCGUGGAUGCAUACUUAGCAUAUUUACAAAUUACCGUGGUGAAUCCUGCUAUGGAUAGAGCAUUGGGACUCCUGCAAAAAUUUGCUGUUGAUGCACAGAGUGGAAAGAUUUCAAAAGAUAAAUUACGGUUUGGGGCACCUUGGAGGCAUCCUCCAAAGACAGAUGACCCCACCCUAUGCAUCGAGUGGGCAAAGCUUCAACUGAUAGAUUUUGUUCAAUCUUUCAUCAAUACAGAGUUUGGGAUUAAUUAUCUAGCAGAUUGUAGUCUUGAGAUAUUUGAUGACCCUUCUGCUGUUGCAUUAGUAGAGGUUGGUUUGCUCUAUGCUCAACGAGACCCAUCCUUCAUUCGGCCCAUAUCUAGAGGGAUUCAGAGGUGUCUUGUGAGAUGGCUUGUCCAGCAGCAGAUGCAAAUGAGUUUCCAGAACUUGCUCCAGUAUCUGUGGCAACGAAUAAUACGUGGACGUAGCUAUCGUCAUUUGAUGCUAGAAGUAGGCUAUAAAUAGUGAACUGUGUGGUUAACAGUUCUGUCACUUGUCAGGCUUCUGUUGGCUAAGAUACAUUCACUUACUGAGGCCAGUAAUUUUCAGGUUCCUAUAAACUAUUUUUUACAGCUGCAGGAACUGGGAGAUUUGCAAAAUCUGCCAUGGCUGAUUUCUAGAAAUUUUGCUGUUGUUGCUCUGGAAAAUCCUUUACAAUAAGAUUGAAGACUUAAAGAAUCCCUUCAACAAAUAGAAUUUUGCAUUUUGACAUGACUCCGAUGUAUAAUAAGGCUGAGUGUAGUCGGCAUUGUUCCUGUGAAUUGAUCAGGGCCUAAAAGCAACAGCUCAUGUAGGUUUGACUUGUAUGCAUAUCCUCAACAACAGAUUAUGUUUUAAAACACCAGUUUGAUAUGUUUUUUUGAAGUGCCAAUUGUAAUGUCUCCUUAUCAUUGCAGCAUGUUGUCGCUACCAUUUGUCGAUUGUAAUGUCUCUUUGAUUUGGAUGCCAUAAUUUUAUAAUUUGAAAGGGACCUCCAAGGGGAUCAUGCUCA